ensembl:snRNA U6 U6 spliceosomal RNA
AUGCUUGUUGCAGCAGCACAUACACUAAAAUUGGAACUAUACAUAGAAGAUUUGCAGGGCCCUUGCAUGAGGAUGACCCAAAUUCAUGAAGUGUUUCAUAUUUAA